GACGUAGGGGGCCAGCGUUGCUCGGAAUUACUGGGUGUAAAGGGUUCGUAGGCGGUGUGGCAAGUCGGGAGUGAAAUCUCUGGGCUCAACCCAGAGUCUGCUUCCGAAACUGCUGUGCUUGAGUGUGGGAGAGGCGCGUGGAAUUGCAGGUGUAGCGGUGAAAUGCGUUGAGAUGUGCAGGAACACCAAUGGCGAAGGCAAUCUUCUGGACGAAAACUGACGCUGAGACACGAAAGCCAAGGUAGCAAACAGG
rnacentral:rRNA from 1 species